rnacentral:misc_RNA from 1 species
GAGAAAAAGAUUUAGUCAAGUCUUAUAUUUGACACAAAAUUCUUCUCCCAAAGUAACGUGGUACAACACCAAAGAGAAGAAAAGCUCCCACACAUUACUUACAAAAUUACAACAUUACCAAAAUGAAGAAUUAAAUUACCAACAUAUUUAUAUUGUCAUAAAAACCCCAUACUGCAUUUUCUUCUCUUUUCUUUAUAGGCAAAGAAAACUAACUAAGCCCUUGCAGCAUUUUAACUUUGCCACUCCGAUCCAAAAUUUUGCUGAUGUGAUAAACCACAUAACAGAGGCAGCACCAUUUACAUCCGCACCUGGUGCAUACACCCUCUCUUACAAUCACGUGACGCUCACUUUCUAUAUUAUAGGAAUGACCUACUUUCCUGUGAGAGAGAGCACCCGGUGUAUCUAAUAAUUAGCCUUUACAU